rnacentral:rRNA from 1 species
CCUACGGGUGGCUGCAGUGGGGAAUAUUGGACAAUGGGGGGAACCCUGAUCCAGCCAUGCCGCGUGUGUGAAGAAGGCCCUCGGGUUGUAAAGCACUUUCAGUGAGGAAGAACGCCUGGUGGUUAAUACCCAUCAGGAAAGACAUCACUCACAGAAGAAGCACCGGCUAACUCCGUGCCAGCAGCCGCGGUAAUACGGAGGGUGCGAGCGUUAAUCGGAAUUACUGGGCGUAAAGCGCGCGUAGGUGGCUUGAUAAGCCGGUUGUGAAAGCCCCGGGCUCAACCUGGGAAUGGCAUCCGGAACUGUCAAGCUAGAGUGCAGGAGAGGAAGGUAGAAUUCCCGGUGUAGCGGUGAAAUGCGUAGAGAUCGGGAGGAAUACCAGUGGCGAAGGCGGCCUUCUGGACUGACACUGACACUGAGGUGCGAAAGCGUGGGUAGCAAACAGGAUUAGAUACCCGAGUAGUC